rnacentral:rRNA from 2 species
GGGGAUUAGUGGCGAACGGGUGAGUAACACGUGGGCAAUCUGCCCUGCACUCUGGGACAAGCCCUGGAAACGGGGUCUAAUACCGGAUACGACCAUCUUGGGCAUCCUUGGUGGUGGAAAGCUCCGGCGGUGCAGGAUGAGCCCGCGGCCUAUCAGCUUGUUGGUGAGGUAACGGCUCACCAAGGCGACGACGGGUAGCCGGCCUGAGAGGGCGACCGGCCACACUGGGACUGAGACACGGCCCAGACUCCUACGGGAGGCAGCAGUGGGGAAUAUUGCACAAUGGGCGAAAGCCUGAUGCAGCGACGCCGCGUGAGGGAUGACGGCCUUCGGGUUGUAAACCUCUUUCAGCAGGGAAGAAGCGAAAGUGACGGUACCUGCAGAAGAAGCGCCGGCUAACUACGUGCCA